rnacentral:lncRNA from 1 species
UUGAAAGAAAACCAGCCAGUUAAAGCUUCGAUUGGAACCCUCAACUCUCCAUGACUGCAGAGUGAAAUAUAGCUCCGGGCAUAGAAAAUGUUCCUCCAGUGCUCCGAUAAAUAGCAUUCAGUUUUCAGCCCCAGGGAAUUCAAUGCAGCCCUAGUUACCCCUCACUGCCAUCACAGCCAUUGAUUCCUUGGGCAGUGGAAAUGAUUUAUGAAGAUUAGUGAGAGACUGAGCCAAUCUACUAUCCCCACAGGUGAGCUCUAACUACCAAAAGUACUGGUUACCUCAAGUAUUGCUCUGCUUUGUGAAUUUCUUCCUCAGUCCUGUUGCUAAUCAACUCCCACUCUCUUUUUUUUUUUCCUUCUCUUUCUCUCUUUCUUUGUCUCUCUGUCUCAAUCUCUCAGUUUCUUUCUCUCUCUCUCUCUUUCUCUCAUCUUUGCAAUUGAAGAUUUUUGCUGCCAUGGCCACCGGAACCAUAGCAAUGUACAGAAAUGUCCAAUUAUUUGGGCAGAGGGCAGUCAAGCCUAUGCUGAAUUGUAGACACUGCUGUGUUCCUGCACCUGUUUCAGUUAUCAGAGUCUCCUAA